CGGUGUGCAGACACUCACUGUCUUGUAAGCACUGUUCUCCUAGCAGCGCUGUUGUUCCUUCCUCCCUCCUUUCCACCUCAUGUGACAGCCGAGCUCAGAGGGGACCCCGUCCUCCAGGCAGGCCCUGCACACUAUGCCUGCUGUCUACUUCCUGUCUCCCCUCUUUCCUCUCUAGAGGCCUUAGGGGUUGUUGACCUCUUAAUCAUCAUGGUGCAAAUAACACUCAGCAACAUAUUGGAGCAGAGAAGGAAUCAGUGCCUCCUGCCAGGCCACCCAACUCCUCUAUCCAAACCUGGUCCUUUCAGCACCCAUCAAGGAGGGCCCGGCCCCAAGGAGCGAGAGUCCAUGGGAGUCUCCUGUUGGUCCGAGUGCAGACCUCCAGUGGAGAGUGAGAGGGAGGCAGUGUCCUAGGAGCUCUGGGUCAUCAGUGUCUGCUCUUUUGUUCUCUGCAACCACUCUGCACAGGAGAUUCUGUUGGCCCACUAGCAUAAUGGAUGGGAAGCAGGGCACCAAGGGGCGAUGCCUGCCCGGAUCUUGCAGCUGCUGAGCAGGGAGAUGAAAUGCCUGCUGGACCUGGGAUCUGGGGCCUCCAGAGACCCAUAUGCUCAACUCCUCUGAUGCACCGCCUCAGCCAUCAUGAAGGAAACUGCCUCUUCCCCAUGUGUGCCUCCCUGGGUGCCCAGCGGAGAGCCUUCGCCAGCCUCCCAUGUGUGCACAAAGAAGUGAAGUGAAAAAGGAGCAAAUGAAGGGUCCUGUGGUCACAGCAGUUGGUCUGGGCUGCACAAACCACUUCUUCCAGGAAGUGCUGUGCUUCACGUCCCUCUCAGCAAUGAUGGCCUUCUAAGUCACGCCACUAUGUGGACCGAGGCCGCACAGGUGUGGCCUCUCACACUCACCAUGGGCUCUGCCCUGCCCACAUCCACUGUGCUUUCCCUUGAUCAGCUAAUCACUGCAGUCUACCAGGCUCUCCAUUGCCAGCCUCAGCCACCACGUGCCCAGGGAGGAAACGGAGGGGCGCACUGGACUCUUCUGUGGUAAAUGCUCCCUCCUUCUCUCCUCGAUUUCCACAGGACUGUCCUUACUCCAGACUUCUCCUGAAAGAAUGUCUACUCUCAGGCACAGCGUGGCCUGCUUUCUUCACCCCAACAUGGCAGGCGGUGGGAGCAACACAUGGAAUUGCUCUUCUUAUAGCUGCUAUCUCCUCAGUAAGAUGGGAAGCAAGGUCUUGAGCUGGAAGUGACCAUGAGGAAGGAGUUGUUGGAGUUUUGAAGGAACUCCAAAGGGAGAAGUUUGAAAUCAUUAGGAUUGGGGAGUGAACACAGAAGAAAUAACACGGUGGCUUGCCAGGUGACAGUUAGUGUGCAACUGUCUUCUCAGGCUAUGGUCACACACAGGUGUGGUGGCAGAGUAGGUGAAGGGUCAUCUUUAAUUAGGGCUGGGUUUGCCAGCACUGUAAUGACUCAGAUGAGAAAUCCCAUGCCAUGGAGCAACAAGAGGAAAAGACAUGAGUGCUAGACAGGGUGGCAUGGAAGCCCAGUGGCCCUGAGGGCCUAACUUUGCUGGCAAGAGUCUGAUGAUAGAUUUGACAUCGGGACUGUCCCAGAACACCUCUUCCAGAAAGCGCCCUGCCCCACCUCUGGUGACGUGGGUUAGUCACUCUCUCCUGUGGUUCCCAGCACCGUGCUCACCUCUGCCCUAUUUUAGUGCUUGAUUUACUUGCGUAUCUUCCUACCGAACAGUGAGCAUAUGGAGGAAGGACUAGGUCUUAUAUCGCUUGUAUCAGACAUAAGAAAGCCCACAAAGCAAUAGGACACAUUGCAUUAAUAGAACCCAGACCGGGUUCUGUGAUCAUCAUAAGUCCUCGUAUUUUUAUAGCAAUUUACAGGAUCAUUUUCACUUCUGUGGUCUUGUUUUAACCUUUCAACAGCCCUGCAAAAUAGCAAAUCAUUCAUUCGUUCACUCACUUAUCUAAGACACUUGAUGUGUUAGGAACUAAUUUAGGCACUGGAAUAUAGGAAAAGAGAACAAAAACCGCUCACCUCUUGGAGCUUAGGUUUCUGCAGAAGGUACUGCUGUGCCUGUGUACAGACGGGCAGGCUGAGGUUAGCUCAGAGGGGCUAAGCCACAUGGCCAAGGUCAAAGGCUUCUGGGUCAGAGAGUUCAAAUUUGGGCACAGGGCUGGUUCGAGGAGCGUGUGUUUCCCCACAACAGCUACCUUGCAGAUCAUGGGCUCAACUAUGAGGUAUCUUUCUUUUUUCUUUUUUUCUCCUGACUUAACAACAAAUAAAAGAGGAGUUGGCAGAGAUCCACACCCUGGAA